rnacentral:lncRNA from 1 species
AUCUACUCUCUUUUCUCCUGCGUAAGUCUCAAGUAAGGGCAAAGUUCAUGUUUACGAGAUCUUAAGUUGGAUCAGUGAAAAAGUCUGCAUGCAGCAUCAGCAGGAGAAGAAUCCCAAUAAAGAGAAUCAGUUGCCCACGGUUCAAAGGGAUGCUAUGUAUCUUGACUUCUUUCUAUACUUGGUGCUCGAUAAGAGAUAUAUGACAUUUGGACUUUGGAGUUGCUGAGAGUACCAGAAGCUUAACCCAGAAG